rnacentral:lncRNA from 1 species
CACUUAAUUCCAAGUACACAGAGCUUGGAUCAAACUCAGCAGGGAAGUCCCAGGUGGACUGAGGGCAUUCACAGCCCAUGGCUAUGCCGAAUUCCUGCAGGGAUAAGCGAAAUCGCUUCCCCAAUAACCUAAAUCCAAUAGUGUCUGGUGUGUGUAUGUUAUGCAUGGCAGGUUUAUCAAAAUAGAACGUGGUGAAGAACUCAUGUGUGAGUUCAAGGAAGGAGGGC